AGAGUUUGAUCCUGGCUCAGGACGAACGCUGGCGGCGUGCUUAACACAUGCAAGUGGAGCGACGAACCGGGCUUCGGCCCGGGGCAGAGCCGCGAACGGGUGAGUAACACGUGGGUAACCUACCCCGAUGAUUGGGACAACCCGAGGAAACUCGGGCUAAUACCAAAUGUGCUCGCUGGUCACAAGGCCAGCGUGUAAAGAUAGCUUCGGCCUUCGCAUCGGGACGGGCCCGCGGCCCAUUAGCUUGUUGGUGGGGUAACGGCCUACCAAGGCGACGACAGGUAGCUGGUCUGAGAGGAUGGCCAGCCACAUUGGGACUGAGAGACGGCCCAGACUCCUACGGGAGGCAGCAGUGGGGAAUCUUGCGCAAUGGGCGAAAGCCUGACGCAGCGACGCCGCGUGCGGGAGGACGGCCUUCGGGUCGUAAACCGCUGUUGCCCGGGACGAAAAGCCCUUUCGAGGGCGUUGACGGUACCGGGUGAGGAAGCACCGGCUAACUCCGUGCCAGCAGCCGCGGUAAUACGGAGGGUGCGAGCGUUGUCCGGAAUCACUGGGCGUAAAGGGCGCGUAGGCGGCGCGACAAGGCGGCGGUGAAAGUCCGGGGCUCAACCCCGGAUCGGCCGUGGCGACUGUCGCGCUCGAGCACAGUAGAGGCGGGUGGAAUUCCGGGUGUAGCGGUGGAAUGCGUAGAGAUCCGGAAGAACACCGGUGGCGAAGGCGGCCCGCUGGGCUGUGGCUGACGCUGAGGCGCGACAGCGUGGGGAGCAAACAGGAUUAGAUACCCCAGUAGUCC
rnacentral:rRNA from 1 species